rnacentral:rRNA from 1 species
CGCACGGUGGAUGCCUUGGCACUAGAAGCCGAUGAAGGACGUUACUAACGACGAUAUGCUUUGGGGAGCUGUAAGUAAGCUUUGAUCCAGAGAUUUCCGAAUGGGGAAACCCAGCAUGAGUUAUGUCAUGUUAUCGAUAUGUGAAUACAUAGCAUAUCAGAAGGCACACCCGGAGAACUGAAACAUCUUAGUACCCGGAGGAAGAGAAAGAAAAUUCGAUUCCCUUAGUAGCGGCGAGCGAAACGGGAAGAGCCCAAACCAACAAGCUUGCUUGUUGGGGUUGUAGGACACUCUAUACGGAGUUACAAAGGACGACAUUAGACGAAUCAUCUGGAAAGAUGAAUCAAAGAAGGUAAUAAUCCUGUAGUCGAAAAUGUUGUCUCUCUUGAGUGGAUCCUGAGUACG